rnacentral:rRNA from 1 species
GACGAACGCUGGCGGCGUGCUUAACACAUGCAAGUCGAGCGAUGAAGCUCCUUCGGGAGUGGAUUAGCGGCGGACGGGUGAGUAACACGUGGGUAACCUGCCUCAUAGAGGGGAAUAGCCUUCCGAAAGGAAGAUUAAUACCGCAUAAGAUUGUAGUUCCGCAUGGAACAGCAAUUAAAGGAGUAAUCCGCUAUGAGAUGGACCCGCGUCGCAUUAGCGAGUUGGUGAGGUAACGGCUCACCAAGGCGACGAUGGGUAGCCGACCUGAGAGGGUGAUCGGCCACAGUGGGACUGAGACACGGCCCAGACUCCUACGGGAGGCAGCAGUGGGGAAUAUUGCACAAUGGGGGAAACCCUGAUGCAGCAACGCCGCGUGAGUGAUGACGGUCUUCGGAUUGUAAAACUCUGUCUUUGGGGACGAUAAUGACGGUACCCAAGGAGGAAGCCACGGCUAACUACGUGCCAGCCGCCGCAGUAACAC